UACGUAGGGGGCGAACGUUGUCCGGAAUUAUUGGGCGUAAAGCGCGUGUAGGCGGUUCUGUAAGUCAAAUGUUAAAUCCCCGGGCUCAACCCGGGUUCGCAUUUGAUACUGCGGGACUGGAGAGAUGUAGAGGGAAGCGGAACUACCGGUGUAGCGGUGAAAUGCGUAGAUAUCGGUAGGAACACCAGUGGCGAAGGCGGCUUCCUGGACAUUUUCUGACGCUGAGACGCGAGAGCAAGGGGAGCAAACGGG
rnacentral:rRNA from 1 species